rnacentral:rRNA from 1 species
GAUGAACGCUGGCGGCGUGCCUAAUACAUGCAAGUCGAGCGAACAGAUAAGGAGCUUGCUCCUUUGACGUUAGCGGCGGACGGGUGAGUAACACGUGGGUAACCUACCUAUAAGACCGGGAUAACUUCGGGAAACCGGAGCUAAUACCGGAUAACAUUUGGAACCGCAUGGUUCUAAAGUGAAAGAUGGUUUUGCUAUCACUUAUAGAUGGACCCGCGCCGUAUUAGCUAGUUGGUAAGGUAACGGCUUACCAAGGCGACGAUACGUAGCCGACCUGAGAGGGUGAUCGGCCACACUGGAACUGAGACACGGUCCAGACUCCUACGGGAGGCAGCAGUAGGGAAUCUUCCGCAAUGGGCGAAAGCCUGACGGAGCAACGCCGCGUGAGUGAUGAAGGGUUUCGGCUCGUAAAACUCUGUUAUUAGGGAAGAACAAACGUGUAAGUAACUGUGCACGUCUUGACGGUACCUAAUCAGAAAGCCACGGCUAACUACGUG